rnacentral:rRNA from 1 species
UACGUAGGGCGCAAGCGUUGUCCGGAAUUAUUGGGCGUAAAGAGCUCGUAGGCGGCUUGUCACGUCGGUUGUGAAAGCCCGGGGCUUAACCCCGGGUCUGCAGUCGAUACGGGCAGGCUAGAGUAUGGGAGAGGGCAGUGGAAUUCCCGGUGUAGCGGUGAAAUGCGUAGAUAUCGGGAGGAACAUCAGUGGCGAAGGCGGCUGCCUGGCCCAAUACUGACACUCAGGUGCGACAGCGUGGGGAGCAAACAGG